UAAUAAGACGAGGCAGCUGCCAGCUGACUGACACUUAGCCCGUCUCGGCCUUUUACACCGAGCGGUGCGAGUCCUGACGCACUAUUGUGCGUAUAGGGCGCGGGGCAGGUUCUAUUAUAUAGAACCUGGGGCGACGCCUCCGCGAGGCAUUCCCUGGACAACACACGCUACGGCGUGUGGCUAAGAGCGCCUCCCGAAAGGGUCCCCGUUCCUAAUUUUUCCAAGACCGCGGGCAGAUCCCAUGGCAGAUUCGCUAGAAGUAGGCCCGCGACAUA